rnacentral:rRNA from 1 species
UACGGAGGGUGCGAGCGUUGUUCGGAAUCACUGGGCGUAAAGCGCGUGUAGGCGGCCUGCUAAGUCUGAUGUGAAAGCCCGAGGCUCACCCUCGGAAGUGCAUUGGAAACUGGCAGACUGGAGUCCCGGAGAGGAGGGUGGAAUUCCUGGUGUAGCGGUGGAAUGCGCAGAUAUCAGGAGGAACACCAAUAGCGAAGGCAGCUCGCUGGGACGGUACUGACGCUAAGGCGCGAAAGCGUGGGGAGCGAACAGG